rnacentral:rRNA from 1 species
AGAGUUGAUCAUGGCUCAGGAUGAACGCUAGCGAUAGGCCUAACACAUGCAAGUCGAGGGGCAGCACAUGAGUAGCAAUACGAUGGUGGCGACCGGCGCACGGGUGAGUAACACGUAUGCAACCUACCUUUAACAGGGGAAUAACCCGUUGAAAAAACGGACUAAUACUCCAUAACACAGGGGUCCCGCAUGGGAAUAUUUGUUAAAGAUUAAUCGGUUGAAGAUGGGCAUGCGUUCCAUUAGCUUGUUGGUGAGGUAACGGCUCACCAAGGCCACGAUGGAUAGGGGAACUGAGAGGUUUACCCCCCACACUGGAACUGAGACACGGUCCAGACUCCUACGGGAGGCAGCAGUGAGGAAUAUUGGUCAAUGGAGGCAACUCUGAACCAGCCAAGUCCGCGUGAAGGAUGAAGGUCUUAUGGAUUGUAAACUUCUUUGCAAGGGAAUAAAGUGGGGACGUGUCCUCCUUUGCAUGUACCUUGCGAAUAAGGAUCGGCUAACUCCGUGCCAGCCGCCGC